GUUCUAAUAAGUGUUUAACAAAAUAGUAUUAAUUCCGAGUACUACACAAAAAUCUUAGUGACCGCCUGAAUCCAAUGGUUGUGAACUGCUAACAAGCUUCGACCUGCUAUACCGGAAAGAAAUAACUAUCUACGUGGUGCUCUCCAACAUCGCCGAAUAUUCUUCUCUUCAUCAACGCCGAGUCCUCUGGUACCUAACGAUUUACCAUAAAUUGUGCCAAUUAUGACUCGAUUUGAAUUCGCCGUGAAUAUCGCCGUGGCCCUAUGACACGAACGAAGUUGCUGGUCGCGAGAAUCCUGAAUCACGAAGUCUCUCAGCCUGACAUGGAAGUUACACAACUGGGUCUCCUGGACGAGUUAUAUCUCUUGAUGACGUAUCUGCAGUACGAACAGCCGAUCUACUCGGCGUUUGGGGCUUGUUUGCUAGACAAACCUUUUAUCUUAACUAUACUUGGAAGUUUAAUCACUUACUUCCUCUUCAUUCAAGAAUAAUGGAUUGAGUUAUUAACAAAAAUGAUGUGUUUUAUAUUAUAUCUACAUAUUCACCUUUAAGAAUCUUAGAUAGUAGAAAUGUUCUAUAUUUCAUCAGUUUUACAGUUUAAUAUGGAAGCUACCUCUUCUUUAGAUUUUACAGAAAUGAUAAAAUA